GCAGAAAAACUCCUGGAAGCUGUUGAAAAAGCCAAAACAGGAAUGGAGUGAUAACUUCUAUGCAGUAAUUCCCUGUUAAUAAUCACAAUUUGAAGAAUUAGGUUGUUGCAAUAUAGAAUUUAACCUUCUUCAAGUAGAAUUCUAUCAGUGAAAACACUCAGAAGGAUGCAAAGACUGCUAUGAGAAGAUGGAGGAGCAAUUGAACAUUUACAUUGGUUACUCUGAUGACAGUAAUUAGGACUGGAAGAGGACUGUAGCAGAAAUGCUAAGUCAUGGUCUGAAACCAGUGAUUGAGCACCUGGUGGGAAGGCAGGGCCAACCCAUGGGAGCUCAGGUGCAAGAAGUGCACCUUUCUGAUAGGAGGGGUGGAGAUAAGACCCUCCCCUUCCCAGACCUCAUUUAAGGGCUGGCAGUGGAGCUAAGGCUUUGUUGCUGGAGAUCCCUGCUUACCUGUGACCUUCUGAAGGACUUGACCUACAUCUGUUGAGAAUAAGGAUGGACAAAGCACACUGAGAUAAAACAGUGGAGGAUUCCAUCCCCUUUAAGGUGCAUUCAGAUCAGAAGCUGACUACUCUCAAAGCUGCUGAGCAAUGUACUGGAGGACUGAGGACAUUCAUAUCGUUUAUAAUCUGGAGGGGAACAAAAGCAACAAAAAGAAGAAACAACAACCAAAAACUGCCUUGCAAGAUGUCAUCUUUCCUCCGGACUCAGAGCUUGACACGGUGGUUCUGCUUAAGUUGAAGUUCCUAUUUUAAGCAAAUUCAACUACAUGUUCCAACUAUAUUCUCAAAUCCUUUGACAGCCAAUUGUGUGUACUAAAUAUUACUAGAAACGAUGGAUAAUUACAAACACUGGAAUGUUGCAAGAAUUUUUACUUCAAUUCCUAGGUGUCUUUCCCAGCAAGAUUCUGCUCCUCAUCAGGAAGAUUUGGGAGUACGUGGUCAGAAAUCAGGAACUGACAAUCUGUAAGAGAUUUCCACUGGAUUAAUGUCAUGAAUCUGCUGCUACAGUGAAGAAUCCUGGGAGUAAUAUAAUAUAAUAAAUGUAGAGCCAUUUGGCAUGUCAUCACUGCAAAGGAGAUAUGCAUUUUAAAAGGGAAAAAGAAGCCAUGCCAGUAUGAGCCAUCAUCAGAAGGGUGCAUACGUAAUGCCUUUAUUGUGGAGCUGAAAGGGAGUGCAAGGUGAUGUCUAUCAUCAAUUACUCGCAAACUGGAAAGACUGUUAUCAACCUCUGACAUAACACUUCAUCCCUAUCUGAGGAGUCAGCAACAGAUUUCGACUGUCACCUGAAGCUGAGGGGACUCUUUAGAAAUUCCCAUCUCUGAAAAACAACAUUGUUGACAGCCUGUAUGUGGUCAAGAAAAAUAGGUCUAUUUUCAGAAUAUGAAGAAAUUUGCAGCAAAAAGCAAUACACUCAUCUGCAGCAGGAGCUCCAGAUUACUGGGAACCACUCAUGGAUUACAGAAGCACACAGAGUCAUAACAAGAACGCAUCUGAGUCAAAGCAUAGGGCAGACUGGAUUUACAACAUUUGUUUACAGACUUCUAGGUUUUUUAAAACCUUUGGACAGCAAGACCCUGAUAAAGCUUUAUGGAGUUUUACAUAAGCCAGUGUAUGGGAACUGCUGAGUCAAGGCCUGAACCUCUGAUUGAUCACCUGGGGCGAGCCAUGAGUCAGCCAGAGGAGCACAGGUGAAGGCAAUUCCUGGCUGCACCCCUCCUAGACCUAUUUAAGAGCUGGCUACCAGUGGGGAAGGAUCUCUGCUGGAGAUUUGCUCUGCUCGAGUUUUGUAAGUGAGCCCAGUAUAGGGGUUGACUGCUUUGAACUGCCAGGCUGUAGAGGUUUCUCUUGCUCCACCUGACUGAUCUAUUGUAUCUUGAAUUCUACCUCGCUCAGUGGAUUAGAUGCAACAAAAGUCAAUGACAUAUUCUAAGGCUUCAAAUGGGAAGUAUGCACCCAAAUUGAAAUUGCAAAACCAGAAAUGUACUCAAUUCUUCGGCCUGGCUAGUUAUGGCUCAAGUUUGAACAGAUAGACUCUUCAGCUUCCUUUAACUGCAUGCAGCUCAGGGUGUGAAGAAAGCCCCCAGCCCUUGCCACAAGGUGUAAGUAACAUAAAUUGCUUCGGCACUGACUGGAGCCAAGAAGGAAAUGUGGUCAGAAGAGUGCCCUGACCACUACACCAGAGAUUCUCUCUGGCCCAGCGGUUUUAAUUAUUCCGUUGAAAGCCAAGCAGGAGGUAGAGAGAGUGCCUUGUGCCCAACUUGGCAGCGCUGUGCUGUCUGCUGCACUUUGCCAUCAGCCUGCUUGCAGCCUCUCGAGCACAUGGGUGAUUGCAUGCCUCCUUUUCUCAGCAUCUCUGAGUCUCUUCUUGUAGAGAAACCUUGAGCAUCUAAUUCAGAAUGCAGAACGGAUGUACUUGCUGGACUUGCUAUCCUGGAAGAUCUUCCUAUCUCUACUGUUACACAACAUGAGGUUUCCAUGGCCUGCACAGAAGGGUCAUGUAAUAAACCAACACUAUAGCAAGCGUGACUUUGAAGAGAAGAGAGAAAAACAGAGAACAUGAAGGCGGUAGUAGCAAGGUCUCAACAUUACUCAACAUCAAACUAGCUAUAUAAACUUGCUGAUAUGUUUAAUUAUAUUUUUCUUUAGCACUUGAGACUCCCAUGACGGCCAUCUGCUUCUGUUGCAUUUCCUGAAAGCUGUUUGUUCCAAGAAACACGGCUGUGAAUGACAGUUUUUACAUAUUUAUUCAAGGAAAUUAGUAGAAUAAGCUUUAUCAGUAGAAUAAGCAUAAUCCAUGUUCCCAAGCUUGUUGGUUGAGUGAUGCCGAAGAGCAAAUUUAAAACACAGGGCAGCUUACAGUUCUCUUAUUACAUGGUGAUGAGCAAAGGCUCAUUAGAAUUCUCAUGAUGUUUCUGCUUUUCCGAAGUAUGUAAACUGUAAAAAUGGAUGAUAGACAAGCUUUACAUCUUGGGUAAUGUGUGAUUAAAUUACAGCCAUUUAAACUAAAAUACAUGAAGAUUAUCAUUUUGGGAUGCUGUUUGCUAAAAACGUCUUCUUUACUUUCAGAGCUAUCUAUGUUUAGUCUGAAAUGCACAAUACCUCUGUGUCCUUUACCCAAAGCAUACAGUUCCUGCUGUGGAACACAAUAACCAGGAAGAUAGAUCAGGCAGGUGAGGAACCACAACCGAUUUACAAAUAAGUAGAAGCAACAGGAAUGUCUUUUCCAGAGCUCAGUUCACAGUGUUCUGUCUGAAGGAGAUGGUGAAAGCUGGGAAGUCAAACAUGUCUCUUCCCCAAGAACUGGGAUUUCAACAGAAUAUAAAAUGUGUUUACAUACUCGCCUGGAGAACCUAACAAAGAAUACUGCUGGAUCUUCAAAGGCCUGCUGUAACAAUUAUUCAAGCUAGAUAUUAGAGCAUUGUUUUGACAUCUUCUCUGCUGUGAAGCCAGAUGAAGGAAGUGCUGUGUCACAAUUCAAGACUAAACUGAGAAAUACAGUUUACAGGAUUAUCCUUCCAGUUUGUUUGAAAUCUGUGAGUGACAUAAAGCACUUCCGUGCACAUCAAAGAUUACCCACUGAGGUAAUCCCAAAACAGGCUUUGCUUGGACUGGAAUUUGCAAUGUGAAGAACACAAGACCACCCCAGUGAGAUCAGGCCAGACCCAACCUGCCCAGAUGCUCCUGCUGUUUGGUAAACCAGAAGAGAAGCUCCAGGGAACAUGAAUUUGAAAAGAGAGCAGAGGAGCCAUUUUCUGUACUUCAUACAUCCACAGAAAGGCAGACAGAAGAAACUCAGUUGUGGGGUGAGGCUUGUCCACAUGUGCCUUUGCAUCCGUGGGCUACAAGACUUGCUCAGGACCAUGGGGCAGAAGAGCAGUAGCAAAGAGUGGGACCAGCACUCAGCAGCUCCCUGGGCUCUG